rnacentral:rRNA from 1 species
AUUGAACGCUGGCGGCAUGCCUAACACAUGCAAGUCGAACGAGUGGGGACGGGUGAGUAACACGUUGGUACGCUCCCCAUCAGAGGGGAUAACACUUGGAAACAGGUGCUAAACCGAUACUGAUGGAUGACCCCGCGGUGCAUUAGCUAGUUGGUGAGGUAACUGCUAACCAGGGCAACGAUGACUAGCCGACCUGAGAGGGGGAUCGGCCACAAUGGGACUGAGACACGGCCCAGACUCCUACGGGAGGCAGCAGUAGGGAAUCUUAGGCAAUGGACGAAAGUCUGAUCGAGCAACGCCGCGUGAGGGAAGAAGGUUUUCGGAUCGUAAAACUCUGGUGGUAGAGAAGCGGUAUCUACACAGAAAGCCACGGCUAACUACGUGCCAGCAGCCGCGGUAAUAC